rnacentral:rRNA from 1 species
CCUACUGGCGGCAGCAGUGGGGAAUAUUGGACAAUGGGCGAAAGCCUGAUCCAGCCAUGCCGCGUGUGUGAAGAAGGCCUUCGGGUUGUAAAGCACUUUCAGUGGGGAAGAAAGCCUUGGGGCUAAUACCCUCGAGGAAGGACAUCACCCACAGAAGAAGCACCGGCUAACUCCGUGCCAGCAGCCGCGGUAAUACGGAGGGUGCGAGCGUUAAUCGGAAUUACUGGGCGUAAAGCGCGCGUAGGCGGUCUGAUAAGCCGGUUGUGAAAGCCCCGGGCUCAACCUGGGAACGGCAUCCGGAACUGUCAGGCUAGAGUGCAGGAGAGGAAGGUAGAAUUCCCGGUGUAGCGGUGAAAUGCGUAGAGAUCGGGAGGAAUACCAGUGGCGAAGGCGGCCUUCUGGACUGACACUGACGCUGAGGUGCGAAAGCGUGGGUAGCAAACAGGAUUAGAUACCCGGGUAGUC